AGCUGGUUCCUUUGAGGUGCUAAGAGCACCUUUGAGCAGAGCAAAACAACUGACCGUAGCAAGACAGCUCCAAAAACUCAUGACAUCCUAUAGACUCUUCAAGAGGUCUCAAAACUCAAGUGCUAAUCAUGCAAAAAUUUGGUGUGGAUCAUGCAGAAUGUAUUUCUGAAAGAAGAAGAAGAAGAAGAAGAGAGGAAUCUAAACGAAGACC
rnacentral:lncRNA from 1 species